CCUACGGGAGACAGCAGUGAGGAAUAUUGGUCAAUGGCCGCAAGUCUGAACCAGCCAAGUCGCGUGAAGGAUGACGGUCCUAUGGAUUGUAAACUUCUUUUGUCCGGGGAUAAAAUGAGUCACGUGUGCCUUACCGCGGGUACCUGAAGAAAAAGCAUCGGCUAACUCCGUGCCAGCAGCCGCGGUAAUACGGAGGAUGCGAGCGUUAUCCGGAUUUAUUGGGUUUAAAGGGUGCGCAGGCGGGCUGUUAAGUCAGCGGUAAAAGCCCGGGGCUCAACCCGGGCGCGCCGUUGAAACUGGGUGUCUUGAGUGGGCGAGAGGUAUGCGGAAUGCGUAGUGUAGCGGGGAAAUGCUUAGAUAUCACGCAGAACUCCGAUUGCGAAGGCAGCAUACCGGCGGGGAACUGACGCUGAGGCACGAAAGCGUGGGUAUCGAACAGGAUUAGAUACCCGAGUAGUC
rnacentral:rRNA from 1 species